rnacentral:rRNA from 1 species
GACGAAUGCUGGCUGCGUGCUUAACACAUGCAAGUCGAACGGUGAAGGGGAGCUUGCUCCCCGGAUCAGUGGCGAACGGGUGAGUAACACGUGGGCAACCUGCCCCUCACUCUGGGAUAACUCCGGGAAACCGGGGCUAAUACCGGAUACGACCGGGAGCGACAUCGCUCCUGGUGGAAAGAACUUCGGUGAGGGAUGGGCCCGCGGCCUAUCAGCUAGUUGGUGGGGUAACGGCCCACCAAGGCGACGACGGGUAGCCGGCCUGAGAGGGCGACCGGCCACACUGGGACUGAGACACGGCCCAGACGCCUACGGGAGGCAGCAGUGGGGAAUAUUGCGCAAUGGGCGAAAGCCUGACGCAGCGACGCAGCGUGAGGGACGAAGGCCUUCGGGUUGUAAACCUCUUUCAGCGGGGACGAAGCGAAAAUGACGGUACCCGCAGAAGAAGCACCGGCUAACUACGUGCCAGCCGCCGCCGUAA